GACGAACGCUGGCGGCGUGCUUAACACAUGCAAGUCGAACGGAAAGGCCCUGCUUUUGCGGGGUGCUCGAGUGGCGAACGGGUGAGUAACACGUGAGUAACCUGCCCUUGACUUUGGGAUAACUUCAGGAAACUGGGGCUAAUACCGGAUAGGAGCUCCUGCUGCAUGGUGGGGGUUGGAAAGUUUCGGCGGUUGGGGAUGGACUCGCGGCUUAUCAGCUUGUUGGUGGGGUAGUGGCUUACCAAGGCUUUGACGGGUAGCCGGCCUGAGAGGGUGACCGGCCACAUUGGGACUGAGAUACGGCCCAGACUCCUACGGGAGGCAGCAGUGGGGAAUAUUGCACAAUGGGCGGAAGCCUGAUGCAGCAACGCCGCGUGCGGGAUGACGGCCUUCGGGUUGUAAACCGCUUUCGCCUGUGGCGAAGCGUGAGUGACGGUAAUGGGUAAAGAAGCACCGGCUAACUACGUG
rnacentral:rRNA from 1 species